UACAGAGGUCUCAAGCGUUGUUCGGAUUCAUUGGGCGUAAAGGGUGCGUAGGCGGCGCGGUAAGUCGGGUGUGAAAUCUCAGGGCUCAACCCUGAAACUGCACUUGAUACUGCUCUGCUUGAGGACUGGAGAGGAGACUGGAAUUCACGGUGUAGCAGUGAAAUGCGUAGAUAUCGUAAGGAAGACCAGUGGCGAAGGGCGGGUCUCUGG
rnacentral:rRNA from 1 species